rnacentral:misc_RNA from 1 species
GACGGAGGGCGCAAGCGUUGUUCGGAAUUACUGGGCGUAAAGCGCGCGCAGGCGGGUUGUGUAAGUCGGCGGUGAAAGCCUGGGGCUCAACCCUGGGACGCCCGUCGAUACUGCGAACCUUGGGACCGGUAGAGGUCGGUGGAAUUCCCGGUGUAGCGGUGGAAUGCGUAGAGAUCGGGAAGAACACCUGUGGCGAAGGCGGCCGACUGGGCCGGAUCCGACGCUGAGGCGCGAAAGCGUGGGGAGCAAACAGG